GACAGAGGGUGCAAACGUUGCUCGGAAUUAUUGGGCGUAAAGGGUAGGUAGGUGGUCUUAUUUGUCUGGGGUGAAAGCCUUGGGCUUAACCCAAGAAGUGCCUUAGAAACGGUAAGACUAGAGUCCUGGAGAGGGUCGUGGAAUUCCCGGUGUAGCGGUGAAAUGCGUAGAGAUCGGGAGGAACACCAGAGGCGAAAGCGGCGACCUGGACAGGCACUGACACUCAACUACGAAAGCGUGGGGAGCAAACAGG
rnacentral:rRNA from 1 species